GAUGAACGCUGGCGGCGUGCCUAAUACAUGCAAGUCGAGCGAACGGACGAGAAGCUUGCUUCUCUGAUGUUAGCGGCGGACGGGUGAGUAACACGUGGAUAACCUACCUAUCAGACUGGGAUAACUUCGGGAAACCGGAGCUAAUACCGGAUAAUAUUUUGAACCGCAGGGUUCAAAAGUGAAAGACGGUCGUGCUGUCACUUAUAGAUGGAUCCGCGCUGCAUUAGCUAGUUGGUAAGGUAACAGCUUACCAAGGCAACGAUGCAUAGCCGACUUGAGUGGGGGAUCGCCCGCCUUGGAGCUGGGCCAGGGUCCAGACUCCUGCGGGAGGGACCAGUAGGGAACCUUCCGCAAUGGUCGAAAGCCUGACGGAGCAACGCCACGUGAGUGAUAACGGUCUCCGGAUCGUAAAACUCUGUUAUUAGGGAAGAACAUAUGUGUAAGUUACUGUGCACAUCGUGACGGUACCUAAUCAGAAAGCCCCGGCUAACUACGUG
rnacentral:rRNA from 1 species